AAAUUUUUGGGAUAAAGGCUUAUUGAGUUGAGUUGAGUAUAUUUACUAAAUGUGGUUUUAUUUUAUUGUCAUAAUCUCUAUUCAAAUGUGAUCUAUAAUGUAAAAUAUAAACGCUAUAUCGUUAAUAGCAUAAUAUAUCCAGUAGAAGAAUAAAUAAAUACACAACCAAAAAAGUGUGAUACAUAACAUUAGUCUUCUGCAUUUAA
rnacentral:misc_RNA from 1 species